rnacentral:rRNA from 1 species
GACGAACGCUGGCGGCGUGCUUAACACAUGCGAGUCGAGCGGACAGGCCCGGCUCUUGUGGGGUUCUCGAUAGGCGAGCGGGGGAGUGAAACGCGUGUAAACUGCACUUGACUUUGGGAUAAAUCUAGGAAACUCGGGCUAUUACCGGGUAUGAUCUCCUGCAGCGUGUGGGGGGAUGGAAAGAUUCGGCGGUUGGGGAACGACUCGCGGCAUAUCCGCUUGUUGGUGGGGUAGUGGCUUACAAGGGCUAUGACGGGUAGCCGGCCUGGGAGGUUGACCGGCCUCAUUGGGACUGAGAUACGGCCCAGACUCCUACGGGACGCAGCAGGGGGGAAUAUUGCACAAUGAGCGGAAGCCUGAUGCAGCAACGCCGCGUGCGGGAUGACGGCCUUCGAGCUGUAAACCUCUGUCGCCUGUGACGAAGAGUGAGUGACGGUAAUGGGUAAAGAAGCACCGGCUAACUACGUG